AUACGGAGGGUGCAAGCGUUACUCGGAAUCACUGGGCGUAAAGCGCGCGCAGGCGGCUUGAUAAGUUGGAUGUGAAAGUCUACGGCUCAACCGUAGAACUGCAUCCAAAACUGUCAGGCUAGAGUGUGGGAGAGGAAGAUGGAAUUAGUUGUGUAGGGGUAAAAUCCGUAGAGACAACUAGGAAUACCAAAAGCGAAGGCAAUCUUCUGGAACACUACUGACGCUGAGGCGCGAAGGCGUGGGGAGCAAACAGGAUUAGAAACCCCGGUAGUCC
rnacentral:rRNA from 1 species